rnacentral:lncRNA from 1 species
AUGUCAUUUGCACGCUCCUGCUUGGGAACUCUGCUGGUGCUGCUGCUGUGUGCAUUCAUUUCAGAGGUCAAUGGACAUGGGCCUCUCCAGAACUACAAUCCCCAGCAUGCAUCUGACAACAUCAUGUGUUCGGACAGCCAAUCGCUGCUCUCAUGCUGGUCAUCUCUAGAAUUCUAGAAUUGUUUUAAGCUGUAAGUCGACACCAAUGAUUUGUGUUUGAUGAAACGUGGGUGGAGGAGAUGGAUGUGAAACACAGUUCAAGUGUCAUUUGCAGAAGGUUUUUCAGUGUGGUGGUGUGAGGUUAUCCACUCGAAGCCUUUGUGCCAGAGCCAGUGCAAUGCUCGACAGACAGAUGAAUGUCAAGUCAACGCUUAUAGCAGGCUCGACCUUGACCCAGCCAUAAGAAGUGUGUUGAAGAGAAGUGUGUAGAAACGAAUCUGCCAUUAGAAAACAAUGCAUUAGAGGCUUAUUAAACACACACAUCCCUCUUUUUUGGUUUAUGCUCUUGAAACUCUUGAAACUCACCUUCUGUGAAGAGCUUUUGAAAUAAUUACCUUGACAUUUUUUAAUUAGGAUAAGUAUGGAAAGGUGCUUUCUGAUAAUUAGCUUAGUCUCUUUUUGGUGUUGGUGACUAAUCGUCUUGCAUUUAAACAUAGUUUUUUGCAUGUUUAUUAGGGAUAUCACUGACCGGUCAUGUAUUUGGAAAUCGGGGGCUGAUCAUAUAUUUUUUAAAGGAUCAAAAUCUUGUGAAAAAGACUCGAAUCACUGAUGGAUCAAAAAUCUAAUGUUACAAGUUGACUGUGCACUGUGUUGCACAUGCACAGUGAGAAUGUUGUGAGUGUGUUGUUGGCCACUCGUGCUCUCACACUUCAUUUUCCUCCAAACUGUCGACACACCGCUGCUGUGCUGAAGACUCUCUCUUUCAAAUGCUCUCUCUCUCUCUCUCUCUCUCUCUCUCUCUCUCU